CUCCCGUCCUCAUCCUCCUUCCGCCGCCGCAUUCGUCGUCUUCCCCCACGGUGGCGCGCGUGCCCGGAGGGUGGUGCGGCCGGCGACGGCGGCUCCCGAGGAGGCCAUCGAGGCACUGUUGAAGAGGAAGGAGACGGCCUCGCCGCCACCGCCGCCAGUGAGGACGCGGACGGACAUGCUCCCGGCGGUGCCCCUCCGCACGAGCCGCCUCUCCUGCUCCAUCCUGCGCAGCACCUGCUCCGGGAUGGAUUGGUGACAAACAAACCUCCUGGGAUGAGGUUUACAGCGAGAAGAAACAUGCGUGGGCCUGUCGAUCACCUUCACAAUUCCAACAGCUUUGAUGCCAUUUCGGUGUCAGGUUCAGAUGGGAGCUCAGGGAGAUUUACCCUAGAAAAUAAUGCAAGUAUGCAGGACAGCCGCCUCUCCUCCACCUGCUUCAGCACGCAGACCACCCCCACCGCGUCGGGCAGAGUGAGGGUGGCGAGGCUGCGGGGCGGAGGAAGGUGGCGGGGCCCGGAGGACAGCAUCGGCGACGGACCCGUAGGUGGAUAG
rnacentral:lncRNA from 1 species